GCAACUUAUUUUUAAAGAUAUCACGACAGGAUUGUUGAACAACUCUGAGAACUGAAGCUCUGUGAGGGGAACAGGAUAGGCGUCUCCUCACAACUCUCAGCGUCCUUAAAGUUGAUAAUUGUUUUAUUGAUCUCUAGUGAGUCAAUUUCCCUUCUUUUUUUGUUCUAUGAGUUUGAGGAGGUUCCCAACUUUAUUCUGUAUACAACGUCUCAAAUCAUAUGUAACUGAUAUAUAGAAAAGACUUUACAACCUGAGAAAAGAGACAAUGCACGUACUUUUGUAAACCAAGAAAAUCUUUUUUCUUUUUUUCUUUUUAAAUAAACUAGCUUUGGGUGAUGUUUUAAUGAUAUUACUUGUUGCUUGGUUAUUGUUGUUAGGACCUUAUGGUCUAAACAAUGUGCUAUUUUGUAAGGUUGGUUGUUAGAAGCCCUCAACUCUGGACUGGAGGAAAGGUGGAAUUUAGGAAUCUUGGAAAAUAUAAAUAUUUGAAGCUUUGCUCCAGCAGCAGUUUGGCUGCUGUGAGAAGGUUUUUUUUUUAAAAAGAAAGAAAUAAAUGAAGCAAAACAUGAUGGGGUGUGGUGCCAGCUGGCUGUUGAGGAGGAAGACGAAGCUACUAGGCAGGCAAGCAGGCAUGCUACGUGAAGGGACACAUUUGGCUCCUGGGUCUAAUGUUCCUCACCCCUGAUUCAGUGGGUGCUCGUCAAUGUUAGUAAUAUGCAAGGUAUUUAAGUCCACUCAUUGCAGUGGGGCUAUGUGUAUGACUUAGAUGCAUAUGGGUGGUGUAAUGGUAGGAAUUAGAGUGACCUGGGAGGCCAGGAUUCAAAUCUUUAUUCAGCCGUGAAGCACACUAGGUGGCCUUAGGCAACUCACUUGUCAGUAAUUCUGAAGAUUAAAUGAGGUUGGGGAGACCCAUCUAUGCCAGCUUGGAGAAAAAGAUGGCAUAGAAAUGUAAUAAACAAAAUCAAUAUAAUUCAUUGUUAUGUGUGUGUGGGGGGGAUGAAUUCAAGAUACGCUUCAGAAACAUUUGCUGCAGUUCUUAAAUAGUUUGUGUUUGUUAUGAAAAUAAAAUGUGUUUACAAAAAGUUUGAUUUGCAUAAUGGAUGGGAGAAUAUCUAGCAUAUGGUCAACAGAUCAAUGCACAUUGUACUCAGUGUAUUUAUAGUAUUGCAGCAUUAACAAUAGUGUUGAGUGAUGACAGAUAAGACUACAUGCGAACAGUCUUGUUUUAACUCUGUAAAUGUUUUUGGGAAAUGAGCCAUUUCUCCGACCUUUCAAGUUUGAUCAAAGAAGGACACGUUUCAUGUUUCACUCUGCUGCAAAAGUAAUCCUGGAAUAGCACAAACAAAAGGUUACAAAGACCAUAUUCUAAAUAACACAAAAUUAAUAAAGUACCAAUUAUCACGAAUAAUAUAUUUGUUAGAUAAUUAGUUCCUGCAAUUUUAAAAUAACUUUUUCUCAAAAUAAUUUUAUUGGCUUCAACAAACAAUUUGAAGAGAAGAGAUUUACAUCUAAAAAUGGAUCUGAAUGAUUGCAUUAAAAUAAACACACAUUUAAGC
rnacentral:lncRNA from 1 species